GUUAGUUAUGAAUUAAGAAGAGAAAUUGAUCAAAUCGGAAAAUACAAUGAAGUUGCAACACUUCCAUCAUGAAGUUGCAACGCUCUGACGUCAGGUGGCGUACGAGCAGAGCGGGGUGAAGUCGGGGGAGUCACUACGGAGCCGUCGUGUCGAGCGGACGUGCACUGCCGUUCUAGUCUGGCAGUCUACCGCGAACCAUCGUCAUGAGCGGACGUGUCGAAUAAUUACGAGGAGUGCUAUAGUCGCUCACCUAUAACUUGUAGGGACGUCAAGAAAGUGUGAUCGGAAAAGAGCGCCUAGCAAGUACGUUCACAUGUCCCGAUGAUUCGGUCUGAAUAUAGGAACCAUGGGUGGUGGAGGGCAAGUAGAGGGCGAGUAGCCCCUUCGCGCUAACGUCCUUAUGCGCGCUAGAUAACGAGAGACUGUGUAACCGUUACGAAUACCGUGACGUUGCCGUGAGUGUGUACCUUAUGCUGUGACUUUAUUUAAUCGUGAUACAAAAACUAUGUGGAAGUAAAUAAAAUGAUUGUGAUACUGAUGACGGCCAUUAUUGUCUUCUAACGCCCACCCUCCAUUCUGAUGAUGAUGUUACGCGACCCACACUGUUACGACCGACACACCCACUAAUUACGACAUCAGAAGUGGGAUUAGUGAACUUGGAUGAAGACAAUGUGAUGCGACGUUCACAACAAGACAAUGUAAGUUUGGAUUAUCACAAUCAGAAGAAGAUUAUGAUGACUAUCACAUUCGUGUGAUCACGUGAUGAAGAUGUAGUGUCCAUUGAAGAUGGACCUGAAUUUGAAGUGACCUGGACCUUGUUAAUGAUCGGCAUCACUACAUGCCGUGAGAUAUGAUGGCGUGAACAUCACAAUAUUUCCAUACUGUGUGCAGUCGUGUUUGGAAAUUAUGGUACCUCAACUUGGAAACUGUUAUUACGGUGAGUCGUUUUCAUACUGGAACCUUAUUGUUUUUGACUUUAUUGCUGUGUAUUUCCGUUUCUAAUAGUAAGGAAAUUGCUUGUUUUUAAAAUCAAAAUUGACGAGACAUAUGGUGUCAAUCCGUGUCAAUCAUACCGCGUUUUCCAAUCUGUUUUCAUCAUCGUCAAAUCUUUGUAUUUUGGUCUAAAAAUAUUUCGAAUUGGUGUAGACACGCUUGACCUGCGUGGUUAAAGUUGUAUUUUCUCACUCCAAGCAAAAAGAAAUUAAUCAUGACAUGAUAAUUGAGUCUCGUUAAAUAACGUGUUUUGUAAUCUACCGUCAUUCAUCAAAUGUUUCAAUAUUCAAUAUUCUUUAUUUGUAAUCUUUUUAAACCGAUUGAAAGAAAGUCACUUGAAUACGAUAAUACAGUGAAUUCUUUUGUUUCAUGUCAUAACUUGCCACGUGGUUCGGCAAUUGGUGGAUUGCAAGCGGAGAUGAAAAUGGCGCGGGCUGAGCUGUAGCCGUGUAAAGUGACGACAUCAUGGCAGCGAGUUGUAUACCAGCCGGACUUGCUGCGCUGGUGCUGUGAAGACCUAAACCAUGUCACAAGACCAGUGGUUGAUCUUUUAUUGGAAAUUCUUAUAUGUCCUGGUGAGUCGUAUCUGUUUUACCUGAUUUGAAAUAUGGGAAGUUUUAAUAGGAUACAAACGAAUAUAGUGGUCGGGGUGUCGCAAAAAGGGUCCCAUACAAAAUUAGGACUUAGAAAAUUGAAAAGAAAGUUGUCUUUUGUUAAAUUUAGUUAAAUUGGAAACCGUAAUGAAGUGAAGUAAACAUUGCGAAGUAAAAUGAUUUGGAUUAUGAUUAAAUGAAAUAGGCUUAGAAAAAGCCCGAAACAGAGUAAAUCAUUCGUGAGAAAAUUGGAACAAAACAUUCUAAAUGAUGAUCAUACCGAAUUGGUAAUUGUUUAAGUGCGGUAAUAUUUCCUCGAGGUGUUGGUCGCUACAUUGUGACUUUAUGACUUGUGUGUGUGAGAGCAGGGUGCUCUGUCAUUUUGUGGUCGUGGACCAUGGUGGCCAUCCCGGGAGGGGAUGUUGUGACUUAUGACUGUUUUGUAGCGUAACCACAGUUUGGGGAGGAAUAUUACAGUCUGUUGUGCUUUGCAGUAGAUGUGUAAUAAUGUUAAUUGAUUUAAUUGAGUAAUGAAAGCUAUGAUUGACCUGUUUCGGAGCAACUCUAAUAGGAAGCUGCGCACUUGUAGUGUUCGGGGCUGCAGCCACUUUUGUGCUGCUCGUCUUAGAAACUACAGGUAUGCGGUCGAAGCCUGGAUGUCAUGUUGACUUUGUAUUUGGUCAUGACAUUGUACUUGAAUCUAAGUCAAGUUGACUUCCGGUAGAAUUAGUCAAACUACACGAAUUAGAAAUUAGUGAUGUAGAAGAAAUUUGUAACCCAUGGACCACUAUUCUACCAACUAAAAUGUAAAGUUUGUGUGCUAGCUGUGUUGAGAUAUCGUCACUUGGUGCAAGUGGCAUGAGUUGCUGUCGCUCGAUUUAGGUGGCAGUAACGACUGUGUUGAGAUAUCGUCACUUGGUGUAAGUGGCAUGAGUUGCUGUCGCUCGAUUUAGGUGGCAGUAACGACUGUGUUGAGAUAUCGUCACUUGGUGUAAGUGGCAUGAGUUGCUGUCGCUCGGUUUAGGUGGCAGCAACGACUGUGUUGAGAUAUCGUCACUUGGUGUAAGUGGCAUGAGUUGCUACCGCUCGAUUUAGGUGGUAGUGACGCCUGGUUGUGAGAUAUCGUCACUUGGUGUAAGUGGCAUGAGUUGCUACCGCUCGAUUUAGGUGGUAGUGACGCCUGGUUGUGAGAUAUCGUCACUCAGUAGAGUGGCAUGAGUUGCUACCGCUCGAUUUAGGUGGUAGUGACGCCUGGUUUUGAGAUAUCGUCGCUCAGUAGAGUGGCAUGAGUUACUAUCGCUCGUUUAGGUGAUAGUAACGACCGAUGUGUAAAGAGUAAUUGGAUUUUCAAGUUUGGUUGUUUAUAGUGUGUGAAUACUGGUCAAUGGUUCGUGUAUUGUUAGUUGAUGAUUUAUCAUGAUGUAAUGUGAGCUCAUGUAGAGUCACAAGUAGAGCUCAUGUAGAGACACAAGUAGAGCUCAUGUAGAGACACGAGUAGAGCUCGUGUAAGAGUCACAAGUAGAGCUCGUGUAGAGUCACAAGUAGAGCUCGUGUAGAGUCACAAGUAGAGCUCGGACAGAGUCCUUUAUAGAGUCUCAUGUUAGGUCAGGAAUGACCGAGCGAACUUGGAUACUGUGCUGUGGUAUAUUGUUUCAGAUUAACACACGAGGACGUGUGUCACGCAGGAUGGCCGUGUCGGAGUUAGUUAUGAAUUAAGAAGAGAAAUUGAUCAAAUCGGAAAAUACAAUGAAGUUGCAACACUUCCAUCAUGAAGUUGCAACGCUCUGACGUCAGGUGGCGUACGAGCAGAGCGGGGUGAAGUCGGGGGAGUCACUACGGAGCCGUCGUGUCGAGCGGACGUGCACUGCCGUUCUAGUCUGGCAGUCUACCGCGAACCAUCGUCAUGAGCGGACGUGUCGAAUAAUUACGAGGAGUGCUAUAGUCGCUCACCUAUAACUUGUAGGGACGUCAAGAAAGUGUGAUCGGAAAAGAGCGCCUAGCAAGUACGUUCACAUGUCCCGAUGAUUCGGUCUGAAUAUAGGAACCAUGGGUGGUGGAGGGCAAGUAGAGGGCGAGUAGCCCCUUCGCGCUAACGUCCUUAUGCGCGCUAGAUAACGAGAGACUGUGUAACCGUUACGAAUACCGUGACGUUGCCGUGAGUGUGUACCUUAUGCUGUGACUUUAUUUAAUCGUGAUACAAAAACUAUGUGGAAGUAAAUAAAAUGAUUGUGAUACUGA
rnacentral:lncRNA from 1 species